rnacentral:rRNA from 1 species
AAGUCGUAACAAGGUCUCCGUUGGUGAACCAGCGGAGGGAUCAUUACUGAGUGUAAAAACUCCCAAACCCCUGUGAACAUACCAUCUGUUGCUUCGGCGGGAUCGCCCCGGGCGCCUUUGCGUGCCCCGGAUCCAGGCGCCCGCCGGAGGACUCCAAACUCUUGUUUUAUAUGUGGCAUUAUCUGAGUGGCUUAUAGCAAAAUAAAUCAAAACUUUCAACAAUGGAUCUCUUGGCUCUGGCAUCGAUGAAGAACGCAGCGAAAUGCGAUAAGUAAUGCGAAUUGCAGAAUUCAGUGAAUCAUCGAAUCUUUGAACGCACAUUGCGCCCCUUGGUAUUCCAUGGGGCAUGCCUGUUCGAGCGUCAUUUGUACCUUCAAGCUCUGCUUGGUGUUGGGUGUUUGUCUCGCCUUUGCGUGUAGACUCGCCUCAAAACGAUUGGCAGCCGGCGUAUUGAUUUCGGAGCGCAGUACAUCUCGCGCUUUGCACUCAUAACGACGACGUCCAAAAAGUACAUUUUUACACUCUUGACCUCGGAUCAGGUAGGGAUACCCGCUGAACUUAA